rnacentral:rRNA from 1 species
GGCUCUUUGAAAUAAAAUUUAUAGGGAGUCGGACCUGCCCGGUGACAUAGUGUUAAACGGCUGCGGUACCCUGACCGUGCAAAGGUAGCAUAAUCAUUUGCCUCUUAAUUGGAGGCUUGUAUGAAUGGUUUGACGAGAGCUUAGCUGUCUCCUGGAAAAUAAUUAGAAAUUAACUUUUAGGUGAAGAGGCCUGUAUUUAGCUAAAAGACAAGAAGACCCUAUUGAGCUUUAGUGACCCUAGAAAUGAGUAAAUCAAUUAAAUAAAUUAUGUAAACUUGUUUAAUAGGUUUUUUAGGUAAAUCUUUAGUUGGGGCGACUGAGGAAUAGAAAAAGCUUCCUUGAAGUUGAGAGUUAGUAUUUUAACUAAGGCUGGCUAGUAUUGAUCCAGUGGUGCUGAUUAUGGGAAAAAGUUACCAUAGGGAUAACAGCGUAAUCUUUUUGGAGAGACCUAAUCGAAAAAAGGGUUUGCGACCUCGAUGUUGGACUAAGAUAUCCUGAGGGUGUAGAAGUUCUCGAUGGUUAGUCUGUUCGACUAUUAAAAUCUU